rnacentral:rRNA from 1 species
GACAGAGGCCUCGAGCGUUAGGCGGAAUCACUGGGCUUAAAGCGUGUGUAGGCGGAUCGUUAAGUACCUUGUGAAAUCCCACGGCUCAACCGUGGAACGGCUGGGUAUACUGGCGGUCUUGGGCCAUUCAGGGGCGACUGGAACAAGCGGUGGAGCGGUGAAAUGCGUAGAUAUCGCUUGGAACGCCGAAGGUGAAAACAGGUUGCUGGGGUUGUGCCGACGCUGAGACACGAAAGCCAGGGGAGCAAACGGGG